rnacentral:lncRNA from 1 species
GCUACUCCAGUUGCAAAACGUUCAGUUUUACCAUUAUCAGAUGCCCGAAUUUUUGAAAACACUAAAUUUUUAUCAAUGAGCGUCCCAGUUAUUAUCGAUUUCAUGAGCAAAGCAAGAAAAUUCUCUUACGUCAUUGUACUCCUCCUAAAAGGGAGGAAAGGAUGGUGUUGAAAAUCAUCCUACAGGUGUGUCCAUAGCAAGCUUUUAUUAAGCUUGUGUAACUGAAAUAUCUGUUUUAAUAUUUAGCUCUGUUUGAUUCAUGGAGUUUGGCUGUCCCAAGUAGUGGAUUCGAAAAACUAUCAAAAAAGGGGCACUGAUACCUCGGUUGAUGGAUAUUUGACGGAGAGAACUUGUUGGUGGAACGAGAUAUGUAAAGAGGAGUUCCAGAAUCUUUUCCGUUGCAAGUGUCCAGAGUGGUCAUUUUGCCGAGCGCCUGGUCGUUAUUAUAACGCUUUCUGUUCUAUGGCAAAAACAGGAUAUAUUUGGUAUCAGCCUGGAUUAAGGGAAAAGUAGAACCAAGGAGCUGACCACGAAACAGUUCACUGCUGAAGACACUCGCUCUUUUAGGAUAGAAUCUGCCACUAAAAUGAUUGAGAUAUUUUUAGUGUCUUUCGUCGUCGUUUUCUUUGUCAAGCAUGUGUUCUUUUAUAAGUAGUAUGUUGAUAAAGAUUAAUCAGAUGUUGUAGUGUAGCUAUACUUCAACCAUCGGCCAACGUUGUAGUAAUAUGGUCGAUGGAAGAAAUAUCUACCUCUAUUGCCAGAUGAACGAAUAACAAAUAUAAUAAAUGUUCAGAUAAAAAAUCAGAUGUACGUAAAAGAUUUUUCACAACAACCUUUAAACAUGUUGAAUGUUGCUUGUCUGUCACAAACGUUUUUUUUUUAAUUCCAUUGUUUGUCAAUUUUCCUAUGUGAAUUUGUAAACCUGUUAUUUCAAGUCAGAUGAAUUUAGCGUACAAAAAAACACCUAAAAACCUGUAUUUUAAAAAGGUGAGUGGAGAAACUGCAUAUUAAAUUAAAAUCAAAUUAAAUAAAAUAUAAUGGACUGGAACUAACAGGUUCAGUUCCAUUUGAGAAGAGCAAAAAAUAUGUGUAAAUUUGUUUUUCAUUGAAAAUCACUGGGUGAAAAUAAUAUUAACAGUUGAAAUUAUUGAAAUUAAACUUCAAAAAAAGAAGUUCUAUAAAUUAGCGACAUAGAUAAAAUAACAACUAUACUUACCAUGAUUGGGGCAUUGUGGAAGAACUUGAAAUUAAAGGAUUAUAUAUGCGAAUGCAGAUUGAAGUUUUUCGUUGAAAAUUAAAAAAAUAAAUAUAAAAAAUAUAAUUUUAUUCUUUAGUGUGCUUGACACAACCACAUUGCGCUCCAUAAUGAUUGUUCACUGAUUUACACAUUUUCCGACCGGAAAUAAGAAUAAUUUGAAGAAAAUAAUUGUAUGUCAACCGUGUCCAAGAGAAACUGUUCAAAAACUAAUGAUAUUUUCAAAAUGAAGUAGGUUAAAUUUACACUUGUAGUUUGCAUUUUAAUCAACGUCAAGAAUAUUUUUGGCUAUUGGAUUAUUCAGAUGAAUUACGAUUUGGAUAUUAAAAGGAAGUAUACGGGAUAAAUGAAAUAUUUGUGAACCUUGCAAAAAGAUCGAAUUCGGUUCAGUUAAAAGAAGCAGUUUGAACUUUAUAAGGUUUCUUUUCAAUUUGUUAUAUCAUUAAAACUUGUUUAGUAAAAGUCUCUCCAGCCAUUUCUCUCAAACAAUUUCGCCUCUUAAAUUGUUAGAAGUAGUGAGCCAUAAAAAUGUAAGGGUAAUAAUAACUGAGAUGUUGAAACACUGAGGAAAAAUAUGAUGUGGUCAAAAUAAGUCUACCGUAUAUAAUGAAUACAUGUGGGUGGUUGUGAUAGUGGUAGUUACAGUCUCUAAAUGUGUAUACGGAAAAGUGAUUAUUUGUAGCUUUUUAACUUUGCUCAAAAAACCGAUUUUUUUGGUAUUAAGGACAUUAUAUGGCUACGCAAAACUAUAUUGAGCAUUCUCAAUAAAAUACGGACAUCGGACGAGACAAAUUUAAUUUAUAAACUGAAUCGAAAAGACUUGGAAAAAUAUGCAGAUUUCAAGACGGGAAAUAUUAAUGAUCUAAAUUGUUCAAUGGAAGUAUUUGUUGACAAGAGUUCUGGCUUUAAAUUCACAUUUAUAAUUUCUCUAGAAAGUUUAAAGAAGUUCCUAAUACUUAGCUUCAUGUUGAAGCGCUUUUCAUUUUUAGAAUAAUAGUUUGAUGAGGUGUAGCUCGAAAAAUAUUUAGAUUUCGAUUUUUUUUUACAUGACUUACUGCCAUUAUUUGUCCUAAAAUAGUUACCCUUAAACAUUUCCUGACUCAUUUUUCGAAAAUCCUGUAUAAAAAAUUGUUACAGAAUCCAAGUUUGAACGAGAUAAUAAUUGUUAAACCUUAUGGCAAUCAAGAUGGGAACGUGUGGCAAAAAUUACAACCAGUUUACAUAUUGCUCAGCUUUAUGUAAACUAUCGAUGAAUAGCUUGUUGAUAAGUUGUAACCGCUUUUCUAUUGACCUCUCGGUCCCUUGAACAUAUUAUUUAAACUGGUCGAUUGUGUUUUAUUAAUCGUUUUGACUCUCAGACUUUUCAGGACUAUCAGGAUUGUGCAAUAUAUUUUUUAUGACUAAUUCAACAUUAGAUGGAAACUAUACCUAUGUAGUAACAUGAAUAAAUAAAUCAAAAAAAUAUUAUAAUUAUUUUUUCCUUGAUACAUAGAAGAUAUGAUUUGCUGAUCUGGAAAUUAACAAAGUAACAUGUUGUUGCAUAAUUGUUCAGAAAUGUUCAAUGCUUUGUUUCAAAGUCCCUUUCAUCUGUUAUGAGAUGAACAUAGAAUAUAAAUGAGAUACCAUUGUUGGUUUACGAUCGAGUGAGUUAACUGUUAUCAGUCAAUAAAUGUGCCCAGAGUGUUUCGGGUAAUUAC